rnacentral:antisense_RNA from 1 species
CUUUGCGGCGGGCGGCGCAGGGAGGGCGCAAGCCCUGCCGGUCCUCAUGCCGGUCGACCAACCUUGCGUCGUCCGUCACCCCG